GAUAAGUUCUAGAGACCUCAAAUUGUUAGAUUCCGACAGCCGAUGUUGCUACAAUGCUAAAUUUCAGUACGCUGAUGGUCGAGACCUUUACGAAAUUUCUCUCAGCGAGUUGUCCGAGGACGUCGACUUGUGGCAGCAGCAGCGACAACACGGAUGAAAUUUUUCUCUGAAAGUAAACUGAUUUGAAGUCGGAAUGCCGUAUAUUGCUGCCAGUUCCUCCUGAAGACAGUGCAACGGCUUCUUUAGCCUGUCAACAUCUUCAGACGACAACUGUAACUCUACUAGAGCGACGCCUUUGCUAUCGGACACCAUCAAUCAUCGGAUAGCUGUGCAAGAAGUAAACGAAACGUGGGACUUCCAAAGGCUUGAAACGGUUAUGCUAGGGCGGUAAACGUGAUCCUUCUCUGCGACCCCGUUCAUCGGACACCACCAUCGGACACCACCAUCAUUCACCGGACACGACCUCCCCAUGAAAACGAAAACGCAAUUCUGCAACUUCGCACCUGAGAUAGGUUUAAAAAUGACUAGCUAACACAACAACACUAUCACUGUCUCCGUUUGCUACUCUCCAGGAGAGACAGCGCACGCUCAUUGAGUCGAGGUAACGCCCCUUUCGUCGGACAGUCCUUUUUCCUUUGCAGCAGCAGUCUGCAGGUACUAGUGUCAUAAGAGCAGUUGUUGUGAAUUUUCAGCACACCUGCUGCCAAAUCUGCGUCCACGAACCAUUCUAGCAUUACUGCACAAUGUACAGAGUAACUAGCUGGAUGUGCUUGUUAGGCCAGAUAAAUACCUACCCUUCUUCUCUACUGAUGUGUGAAACUUAGUAAAUGGCUGGAGAGUUUUCAGAGACUUCUUCUUUUUUGAUCCCAGGCCUAUCACUGUUAGUUCGUGGCCUUUUGGUCUUCCUCUCGAUAUGUAGACGGCAUCUUGAUACCUGACAUGAACAAAUGUAAUUGUCAAUGCACCAAAUACUGAGUACACUGUCUGCACUCUAGCUGAUUUCAUUUUUAUAUACUCACUCUGGAGAUCUUGUUUGAAUUCAUUGGCUAACUUUGAUUUCUCAAAGUCAUUAUCCUGUGAUUUAGCAAGAAGAGAUAAUGUGAUACAAACAGUCAGAGACAAUUCAUUUAGUUAAUCCAUUUUUCUCCAGUGCUACUUUAGUGGCUUAGACAGAUUUAUGUUUUAGAUGUGUGUCUCUGUGUAGACAGAUACGUGUUGCAACUAACGAACGGCAGUUAAUCAGUCAGUCAGUCAGCGCACAGUGCCAUUCAAGAUGCUUUUCAUUAGAAUUGAUCUCUACUAUUUGCGCUUAGUUUUAACUUGUAGUUUUGCUGUGACCGUGAUUCCACUGUCAUCGAUAAUAUUUUUAACUUUUGGUGUUCUGUAUUUAGAAAUUUGUGUCUAUAAAUGAUUUUUGUCAGUCAGUCAGUCAGUCGGGGAACAUGAUCAAAUAGUCGCUGUUGGAGCAGUUACCUUCAUGAACUAAAUCUCCAUCACAAGAAAGAAGUCUUUUAUCGGUACGUAGAUAAUGAAAGCGGACGGACAUAGUUGUUUUUGACUCUGGUGCUGGCUCCAACGUUGACCUAACUCGUAAGUAACCCUAACCCUAACAGAAGGAGGUUCAGAGCUAAGCAUAUGCAUGUUAGGUUGGCAUUAGAGUACGUCCCAUCCUGACUGGGUCCUUUUGAAAUUAGGUAUGAAACAUGCCUUCAAUAUGGUUUAAGCAGAUCUCAUAUCUUGGAUGGAGGAAAGUCUAGUUUUUCAACGAUUCUGCCUCAUGUCUACCAACUGUAUAAGAAGGUCAAUCAUCUUGUUUAUCUGAUGGGUAAUGAAAGAAGUAUCAUCAAGUCUCACAACAAUGGGCUCUGUCUCCUCUGUUGCCAUGUACCCUAUUGUUGGUGUAUAGCACAACAAGCUAGAAGAACCAGAAUAGGCAUCAAUCCUUAUUUCAACAUUUUGGAAAGAGGGGGAAAGGCAAAAAACAACCAGAAGAGGUCGCGUAACUCUUAUAUCCUCUUGGAAGACUGUAAGAGGACCAUACUUUACUCAUGCUGAAGGAAUUUUUGUGGUAAGCUAAUUAUUCUGUUCAAAGAGGGAAUUGAGUCGCAAAAGGCUUACCUAGAAGCUGUUGAAUUAGGACAAGAUGAAUGAUAUAUUUAUUGUCAAUUCUGUAUCUUCGUUAGGCGAGAAAGAGGUGACUACUUUAUAUUUGAAGAUUAGAGGUUGCUUUGUAUGGUGUCUGUAUAGCAUAUGGUAGUUUGCUUUGAGACCUGUUGCUGGUUUUUUAAAAAUAUAUUCUGUACCUACGUUGAAGAUGUAUUACAAUAAAUGACAGAGGGCACAGAG